CAUGCAAGUCUACUUGAACUUCGGUUUGGGUGGCGGACGGGUGAGUAACGCGUAAAGAACUUGCCUCACAGUUAGGGACAACAUUUGGAAACGAAUGCUAAUACCUGAUAUUAUGAUUUUAGGGCAUCCUAAGAUUAUGAAAGCUAUAUGCGCUGUGAGAGAGCUUUGCGUCCCAUUAGCUAGUUGGAGAGGUAACGGCUCACCAAGGCGAUGAUGGGUAGCCGGCCUGAGAGGGUGAACGGCCACAAGGGGACUGAGACACGGCCCUUACUCCUACGGGAGGCAGCAGUGGGGAAUAUUGGACAAUGGACCAAAAGUCUGAUCCAGCAAUUCUGUGUGCACGAUGACGUUUUUCGGAAUGUAAAGUGCUUUCAGUUGGGAAGAAAAAAAUGACGGUACCAACAGAAGAAGUGACGGCUAAAUACGUGCCUGCAGCCGCGGUAAUACGUAUGUCACAAGCGUUAUCCGGAUUUAUUGGGCGUAAAGCGCGUCUAGGUGGUUAUGUAAGUCUGAUGUGAAAAUGCAGGGCUCAACUCUGUAUUGCGUUGGAAACUGCAUGACUAGAGUACUGGAGAGGUAAGCGGAACUACAAGUGUAGAGGUGAAAUUCGUAGAUAUUUGUAGGAAUGCCGAUGGGGAAGCCAGCUUACUGGACAGAUACUGACGCUAAAGCGCGAAAGCGUGGGUAGCAAACAGGAUUAGAUACCCUGGUAGUCCACGCCGUAAACGAUGAUUACUAGGUGUUGGGGGUCGA
rnacentral:rRNA from 1 species